UAGACCAUUGUAUGUACUGAAGUUUCAAAAACGAUCCAGCAUGGCCAAUCCAAAGCCAGUUAUUUUUGUCGAUGCAUUGAUUCAUUGCAGAGAAUGGAUUACAGCUGCGUCUCUCCUGUUCAUAAUUAAAGAGAUGCUCAGGAAUCCAAAAUAUACUCACAUGAUUGAUGAUGCUGAUUGGUAUUUUGUGCCCAUGGUGAACAUAGAUGGAUAUGCAUACACCUGGACUGGGGAUAGAUUGUGGAGGAAAAC